GAAAGGAAGAUUAAUACAAGAUGGCAUCAUGAGUCCGCAUGUUCACAUGAUUAAAGGUAUUCCGGUAGACGAUGGGGAUGCGUUCCAUUAGAUAGUAGGCGGGGUAACGGCCCACCUAGUCUUCGAUGGAUAGGGGUUCUGAGAGGAAGGUCCCCCACAUUGGAACUGAGACACGGUCCAAACUCCUACGGGAGGCAGCAGUGAGGAAUAUUGGUCAAUGGGCGCAGGCCUGAACCAGCCAAGUAGCGUGAAGGAUGACUGCCCUAUGGGUUGUAAACUUCUUUUAUAAAGGAAUAAAGUCGGGUAUGCAUACCCGUUUGCAUGUACUUUAUGAAUAAGGAUCGGCUAACUCCGUGCCAGCAGCCGCGGUAAUACGGAGGAUCCGAGCGUUAUCCGGAUUUAUUGGGUUUAAAGGGAGCGUAGAUGGAUGUUUAAGUCAGUUGUGAAAGUUUGCGGCUCAACCGUAAAAUUGCAGUUGAUACUGGAUAUCUUGAGUGCAGUUGAGGCAGGCGGAAUUCGUGGUGUAGCGGUGAAAUGCUUAGAUAUCACGAAGAACUCCGAUUGCGAAGGCAGCCUGCUAAGCUGCAACUGACAUUGAGGCUCGAAAGUGUGGGUAUCAAACAGGAUUAGAUACCCUGGUAGUCCACACGGUAAACGAUGAAUACUCGCU
rnacentral:rRNA from 1 species